rnacentral:rRNA from 1 species
UACGGAGGAUCCGAGCGUUAUCCGGAUUUAUUGGGUUUAAAGGGUGCGUAGGCGGCCUAUUAAGUCAGGGGUGAAAGACGGUAGCUUAACUAUCGCAGUGCCUUUGAUACUGUUAGGCUUGAAUGUACUUGAGGUAGGCGGAAUGUGACAAGUAGCGGUGAAAUGCAUAGAUAUGUCACAGAACACCAAUUGCGAAGGCAGCUUACUAAAGUAUGAUUGACGCUGAGGCACGAAAGCGUGGGGAUCAAACAGG